rnacentral:ncRNA from 1 species
CAUCGUACAAGGAAACGAGACGAUGCUGAGCAUGCAGAAGUCAGCAGAGGUCAUAGUAAGCCGAAAGGACGAAGGGC